CGAACCGAAGCGGGAGAGCCCUCGUCCACCCUUGGCGAGGCGCCGAAGGAGCAACUCUCCCCAGAAUCUCUCAGGCCCAACUACCGCUUCGGCUAG
rfam:Streptomyces sp. NBRC 110027 DNA, contig: TPA059807.